rnacentral:rRNA from 1 species
UACGGAAGGGACAAGCGUUGUUCGGAAUCAUUGGGCGUAAAGGGCGCGUAGGUGGUUCUGUAUGUCUACCGUGAAAGCAUACAGCUCAACUGUAUUUUGUCGGUAGAAACUGCAGGACUUGAGGCUGGGAGGGGCUGGUGGAAUUCCCUGUGUAGCGGUGAAAUGCGUAGAGAUGGGGGAGAACACUCGUGGCGAAGGCGGCCAGCUAGACCAGUUCUGACACUGAGGCGCGACAGCGUGGGGAGCAAACGGG